rnacentral:rRNA from 1 species
GACGAACGCUGGCGGCGUGCCUAAUACAUGCAAGUAGAACACUGAAGAGAGGAGCUUGCUCUUCUUGGAUGAGUUGCGAACGGGUGAGUAGCGCGUAGGUAACCUGCCUGGUAGCGGGGGAUAACUAUUGGAAACGAUAGCUAAUACCGCAUAAGAGUAGAUGUUGCAUGACAUUUGCUUAAAAGGUGCAAUUGCAUCACUACCAGAUGGACCUGCGUUGUAUUAGCUAGUUGGUGGGGUAACGGCUUACCAAGGCGACGAUACAUAGCCGACCUGAGAGGGUGAUCGGCCACACUGCGACUGAGACACGGCCCAGACUCCUACGGGAGGCAGCAGUAGGGAAUCUUCGGCAAUGGACGGAAGUCUGACCGAGCAACGCCGCGUGAGUGAAGAAGGUUUUCGGAUCGUAAAGCUCUGUUGUAAGAGAAGAACGAGUGCGAGAGUGGAAAGUUCACACUGUGACGGUAUCUUACCAGAAAGGGAUGGCUAACUACGUGC